ensembl:lncRNA
CCACGUCCAGCUGAUAACACAACUAAUGUUUUGAAUGUUAGUGGCACAAAUAUAAAAUUAGAUUUUGGUUCUUUUUAUCCAAACCACAGUCAAGACGCCUUCAACAAUACCAAAGAAGAAAAUGUCACAGAGGUCCCAGCAGGUGAGAGGUCCCAAUCAUCAGCAGGCCUGCUGAGUGUAGCCUUAGACAACAACAGCGACUCCUUCAGAAAUGUUACUGUUACUACAGUGGAAAGUGACUGGAUAUCACCUCACCCAGAUUACCAAAGUGACAACCUGACUGAAAUCGACCCAGAAAAUGUUACAGAAGCACCAAUGAAUUUAUUAGCAGGUGAGCCGCAUGAUGCUGGAAAAGCUCUCUCUGAUGAAACUUUAGACACAUAUUUGAAAGCUGGUAAGAAACCAUUUGAGUGUCAGAGUGUCUCUGCUAAGAUAUUUAAGAGACGGCUGAAUGUUUUAGAACUGACGUUAACAAAUUCAUUUAUAUUUCUGCAAACGAUACAUUUACGAUCACCUAAUAACUGGAGACACAAAAACUGGUGAAUUAUGUGAUUUUAAAUUACACACGAUAUGACAUA